AACUAUGGCCAUGCCACCCUGAAAAAGCCUGAUCCCGUCUGAUCUCGGAAGCUAAUCAGGGUUGGGCCUGGUUAGUACUUAGAUGGGAGACCACCUAGGAAGUCCAGGUGCUGUAGGCA
rnacentral:rRNA from 1 species